rnacentral:rRNA from 1 species
GCAUAUCAAUAAGCGGAGGAAAAGAAAAUAACAAUGAUUCCCCUAGUAACGGCGAGUGAAGAGGGAAAAGCUCAAGUUUGGAAGCUUCGUGGCAUAGCUACGACGCGUUGUAAACUGAAGUUUUUUGGGUGAUUGGGCGACCGGAUAAAUAAGUCCUUUGGAAAGGGGCAACAUAGAGGGUGACAUUCCCGUCUUUGGUCCGAGUCAGUGCAGUCGCUGCCCAGGAAACGACGAGUCAGGUUGUUUGGGAAUGCAGCCUAAAAUGGGAGGUAAAUCUCUCCUAAAGCUAAAUACUGGCGUAAGACCGAUAGCGAACAAGUACCGUGAGGGAAAGAUGAAAAGGACUUUGAAAAGAGGGUCAAAUAGUACGUGAAAUUGUUGAAAGGGAACCGUAUGAAAGUAGACUGGCUUGGUGAUGAUCAAUGUGUGUUUCGGCACGCAUGCACUCAUUGCCUUUGCCAGCCAGCGGCAGUUUUUGCUAAAGGAAGAAAAUCAGGGGAAUGUAGCUUCGAUUUCGGUUGAAGUGUUAUAGCUCCUGGUAAAAUACUUUGGCAGAGACUGAGGCUAGCAGCGGAUCUUUGGGAACUUUGCGCGCUUGUCGUCCAAUGGUCAAGUUUUCUUCGGAUGCUUGGUCAUUGGGUGGCAACUCGUGUGAUGCUUCACCCUUCCGCUUAGGUCGCUGGCGUAAUGCUUUUAUAUGACCCGUCUUUAAACACGGACC